rnacentral:rRNA from 1 species
AGUUUGAAAUCCUGGCUCAGGAUGAAACGCUCGGGAGGCCUAACACAUGCAAGCCGAGCGGUAUUUGUUCUUACAGUAGGGUGCGUACGGUGUUUUACCUUUAUCAGGGGAAUAGCCUUUCGAAAGGAAGAUUAAUACUCCAUAAUAUAUUGAAUGGCAUCAUUCGAUAUUGAAAACUCCGGUGGAUAAAGAUGGGCACGCGCAAGAUUAGAUAGUUGGUGAGGGUAACGGCUCAGAUAUGAUCUUUAGGGGUCCUGAGAGGGAGAUCCCCCCACACUGGUACUGAGACACGGACCAGACUCCUACGGGAGGCAGCAGUGGAGAAUAUUGGACAAUGGGUGAAAGCCUGAUCCAGCCAUCCCGCGUGAAGGAUGACGGUCCUAUGGAUUGUAAACUUCUUUUGUAUAGGGAUAAACCUAGAUACGUAUCUAGCUGAAGGUACUAUACGAAAUAAGCACCGGCUAACUCCGUGCAGCAGCCGCGGGUAAUACGGAGGUGCAAGCGUUAUCCGGUAGUUUGGGUGCCGUAGCGGCCAUAGUAAGUGUGAAACUCAAUCAUAGCUUAACUAUGAACUGCCAUUGAUACUGUCGGUCUUGAGUAAAUAGAGGUAGCUGGAAUAAGUAGUGUAGCGGUGAAAUGCAUAGAUAUUACUUAGAACACCAAUUGCGAAGGCAGGUUACCAUGAUUUAACUGACUGAGGGACGAAAGCCGUGGAGCGAACAGGAUUAGAUACCCUGGUAGUCCACGCCGUAAAACGAUGCUAAACUCUUUUUUGGGGCGCAAGCUUCAGAGACCAAGCCGAAAGUGAUAAGUUAGCCACCUGGGAGUACGUUCGCAAAGAAUGAAACUCAAAGAAUUGACGGGGGCCCGCACAAGCGUGGAUAUAUGUGGUUUAAUUCGAUGAUACGCGAGGAACCUUACCAAGGCUUAAAUGGGAAAUGACAGAUUAUAAUAGAUCCUUCUUCGGACAUUUUUCAAGGUGCUGCAUGGUUUUGUCGUCAGCUCGUGCCGUGAGGUGUUAGGUUAAGUCCUGCAACGACGCAACCCCUGUCACUAGUUGCUAACAUUAAGUUGAGGACUCUAGUGAGACUGCUACGCAAGUAGAGAGGAAGGUGGGGAUGACGUCAAAUCAUCACGGCCCCUUACGCCUUGGGCCACACACGUAAUACAAUGGCCGGUACAGAGGGCAGCUACACAGCGAUGUGAUGCGAAUCUCGAAAGCCGGUCUCAGUUCGGAUUGGAGUCUGCAACUCGACUCUAUGAAGCUGGAAUCGCUAGUAAUCGCGCAUCAGCCAUGGCGCGGUGAAUACGUUCCCGGGCCUUGUUACACACCGCCCGUCAAGCAGCAUGAAGUCUGGGGUACCUGAAGUCGGUGAACCGUAAAAAGGGAGCUGCCUAGGGUAAAACAGGUAAACUAGGGCUAAGUCGUAACAAGGUAGCCGUACCGGAAGUGCGGCUG